rnacentral:rRNA from 1 species
GACGAACGCUGGCGGCGUGCUUAACACAUGCAAGUCGAACGGAAAGGCCUGCUUUCCCUUGUGGAUUGCGGGUACUCGAGUGGCGAACGGGUGAGUAACACGUGAGUGAUCUGCCCCCAACUUGGGUAUAAGCCUGGGAAACUGGGUCUAAUUCCCGAUAGGACUGCAGGGUGGUGCCUGUGGUGGAAAACGAUUUUCUAGUGGUUGGGGAUGAGCUCGCGGCCUAUCAGCUUGUUGGUGGGGUAAUGGCCUACCAAGGCGGCGACGGGUAGCCGGCCUGGGAGGGUGGACGGCCACAUUGGGACUGAGAUACGGCCCAGACUCCUACGGGCGGCAGCAGUGGGGAAUAUUGCACAAUGGGCGGAAGCCUGAUGCAGCGACGCCGCGUGGGGGAUGACGGCCUUCGGGUUGUAAACUCCUUUCGACCGCGAGGAAGCCACCUGGUUGGAAGGGUGGUGACGGUAGUGGUAGAAGAAGCACCGGCUAACUACGCG